rnacentral:rRNA from 1 species
GAUCCUGGCUCAGGAUGAACGCUAGCUACAGGCUUAACACAUGCAAGUCGAGGGGCAGCAUGACCUAGCAAUAGGUUAAUGGCGACCGGCGCACGGGUGAGUAACACGUAUCCAACCUACCGGUUAUUCCGGGAUAGCCUUUCGAAAGAAAGAUUAAUACCGGAUAGUAUAGCGAGAAGGCAUCUUUUUGUAUUAAAGAAUUUCGAUAACCGAUGGGGAUGCGUUCCAUUAGUUUGUUGGCGGGGUAACGGCCCACCAAG